rnacentral:rRNA from 1 species
AUACGUAGGGGGCAAGCGUUAUCCGGAUUUACUGGGUGUAAAGGGAGCGUAGACGGUUCUGCAAGUCUGGAGUGAAAGCCCGGGGCUCAACCCCGGGACUGCUUUGGAAACUGUGGAACUAGAGUGCAGGAGAGGUAAGUGGAAUUCCUAGUGUAGCGGUGAAAUGCGUAGAUAUUAGGAGGAACACCAGUGGCGAAGGCGGCUUACUGGGAUACAACUGACGCUGAGGCACGAAAGCGUGGGGAUC